rnacentral:tRNA from 1 species
UGCCAGAAAGCGAAUUAGUCGCAUCAAGUUUCGACCUUGUUCUUGGUAAUAAUUACCUCUGGUAA